GCUGCGGUGUCCGAGCGGUUAAGGAGAUGGAUUUGAAAUCCAUUGGGUUCUACCCGCGCAGGUUCGAAUCCUGUCCGCAGCG
rnacentral:tRNA from 1 species